GACGAACCGUGCGAACGUUAUUCGGAAUCACUGGGCUUAAAGGGCGCGUAGGCGGGUCCGUAAGUCAGGGGUGAAAUCCCACGGCCCAACCGUGGAAGUGCCUUUGAUACUGCGGCCCUCGAGGGGGAUAGGGGCGGUGCGGAACUCAGGGUGGAGCGGUGGAAAUGCGUAGAUAUCCUGAGGAACACCGGUGGCGAAGCGGCGAC
rnacentral:rRNA from 1 species